rnacentral:rRNA from 1 species
GAUGAACGCUGGCGGCGUGCCUAAUACAUGCAAGUCGAGCGAACAGAUAAGGAGCUUGCUCCUUUGACGUUAGCGGCGGACGGGUGAGUAACACGUGGGUAACCUACCUAUAAGACUGGGAUAACUUCGGGAAACCGGAGCUAAUACCGGAUAACAUUUGGAACCGCAUGGUUCUAAAGUGAAAGAUGGUUUUGCUAUCACUUAUAGAUGGACCCGCGCCGUAUUAGCUAGUUGGUAAGGUAACGGCUUACCAAGGCGACGAUACGUAGCCGACCUGAGAGGGUGAUCCGCCACACUUGAACUGAGGCACGGUCCAGACUCCUACGGGAGGCAGCAGUUGGGAAUCUUCCGCAAUGGGCGGAAGCCUUACCGAGCCACGCCGCGUGGGUGAAGAAGGGUUUCGGCUCGUAAAACUCUGUUAUUAGGGAAGAACAAACGUGUAAGUAACUGUGCACGUCUUGACGGUACCUAAUCAGAAAGCCACGGCUAACUACGUG